rnacentral:rRNA from 1 species
UACGUAGGGUGCGAGCGUUGUCCGGAAUUAUUGGGCGUAAAGCGCGCGUAGGUGGCUUCGUAAGUCCGUUGUGAAAGUCAAAGGCUCAACCUUUGAAAGCCGAUGGAUACUGUGAAGCUAGAGUACGGAAGAGGCGAGUGGAAUUCCUGGUGUAGCGGUGGAAUGCGCAGAUAUCAGGAGGAACACCAAUAGCGAAGGCAGCUCGCUGGGACGUUACUGACACUGAGGCGCGAAAGCGUGGGGAGCGAACAGG